rnacentral:lncRNA from 1 species
GGGUGCUGCCACAUGAACAUAUAAAUAUACGUGCAUACUAUAUAUAUAUGUACAACGAUGCACGUACAGACGUGUAAGGAGAUACACCUCAAUGUGUGUACGGAUUCCCCAUCUGUGAGAACACCUCGCGUGUAGAUGUUGAAACGGGGAAGCGAACCGCACAUCCCUCUGUGUAUUUCACUAAAUAAAAGUGUAAGAGUAUAUUUAUGCGUCUGAAUCUCUCGCUUUCCUGCUCCCGAUCCACAAGCUAGCUACCCGACUUGUCCUGUGCUCACGCGUUUGCGUCAGCGGCUCGUCGGAAGUCCCGUGUUUCGAGAAAGAAUUGUCGGAUGCGCCCGUUGCAGUUAUCCACCUCGGAACGUUGCGUAAGCAGAGGCUUGGCCCAGACAGAAGGCCUUGUUUUUCUAGAACCUCUCGAGAGCUGUGCGCACCGUAAGGGAACACCUGCCGCUGUCUCUUCCCUUCUGCCUGCCCGUUGCCUGUGUGUCUCGCACGGCCCACGAGAGACGUGCGUCUCGCCAGGGAAGAAAGCCAUCAAAUGGCGGGGAGUCCUUCUGCCUUUCCGAGCAAAAGAGGCGCAUCUGUCAGGUUCGUCUUUCACGGGAGAAGCCGCCAAGCGUGGACCCGCGCAAGGGCACUCCCGUCUGGUUUUGGAGACGAAAGGGGAGAAAUGGGACUAUUGGUUUAGAUCUUGAAUACCGUUGAUUGCCGGCUCCAAGUUCUAUUGUGCUUUUCGUGACCGUCACGUUAAGUGCACGAAGUAGGGAAAACGGCUCAGACGUGCACA